rnacentral:misc_RNA from 1 species
UACGUAGGGUCCGAGCGUUGUCCGGAAUUAUUGGGCGUAAAGAGCUCGUAGGCGGUCGCUUAAGUCGGAUGUGAAAUCUCAGGGCUCAACCCUGAAAUUGCAUCCGAUACUGGGCGACUUGAGGCAGGUAGGGGAAGGUGGAAUUCCUGGUGUAGCGGUGAAAUGCGCAGAUAUCAGGAGGAACACCGGUGGCGAAGGCGGCCUUCUGGGCCUGUUCUGACGCUGAGGAGCGAAAGCGUGGGGAGCGAACAGG